CUUCCUCAGGGACUAGGGCCUUGGAAGACCAAGUGUGAAGUCCCAGAUCUCAGGUCCAAUGUGGAGAGUGCUGUGCCCUGUGGAGAGAAGCAAGUCAGUGACAGCAGACAGUAAGGUGGCCUGAGUGGGUGGUUCGAUGGCUUAACAGGAUUCACCAUGGGAUUCAAGAAGACCAGGAUUGGGCAUAUCCUUGACCUUUCAUGAGCUGCCAGAGGCCCCAGAAGGAUGGUAGUGAGGGUGGAGAAUGAGUGGGUCUCAGGUACAGAUCCCUGGAUUUCUUAUUAAUAGAAGGAGCUAGAGGACCAGCCCUUUCCAGAUCUACAGACUGAAGAUAAAGGUGAAUUGAUGACAGAGAAGGAAUUGGCAGGCCCAGACAAUAUGGGGCAACCAGGAAUACAAAGCUCCCAGGAAGUCCAAGGUCCUCAGAUCAUCUGGACGUCCCCCCAGAAAGCAGAGGAGGAUUCUGAGCAGUUUGAGGACAACACCCCAGACCAAAGCUUCCAGUUGAGGUCAGAGGAUGAGGAGGGAUCCCCUCUGCGACUCACACCACUGACCAUGGAGAGACCCUCAUCAGAUAGCUCCUAUGCUCAGCCCAGCUCAACAUUCAUACAGCCUGAGGUGGGGGAAGAGGCUCUUAAGGCCCAGUUGGUACAAAGCCCAGCAGUGCCCCUCAUUUGUCAUCCAGUGAAAAUGGUCCCACCAGGGAAGGAGGACAGAGAGGAAAAGACUCCUUCUAAAAAAUGGAAGGAAGAAGAAGAAUACUGCAUAGCGUGGCAUCUGCGGGCCUGCGGCGCCACAACCUGGAUGUCAGCUAUGUCCCUGAACCUAGUGUCCAAGUCUGCCCAGGCCUCGUCCUCAGCACCGGUGCCAAGCAGCCCAGAAAAGAACUGGAAGAGGACAGAGCUGCAUCGGAACUCGGACAGGUCAAACAAGACUCGGCCUAUGACUGCCUCAUCAAUAAGAAGGCUGGAGGGUGCAACCCAACCCCUCAGCUGCCACAUCUACAGAAAGGACAGUGACUUGACCCCUAUUGGCUCCAGCAUCAAAGAGUGGAAGGAGGAGAUUCUCACUCAGAAGCAAGAGGAAGCUUUUAGAGAAUAUUUCAAGUUUUUCUGUGGUCCUGGAGAAAUUGACAUCCACAGCCUGAAGAGCAUCCUAUCAAUAGUGGGGAUACCCCAGACCCAGGCUGAGAUGACUGCUGCCCUGAUAAGUGCUGAUGUGAAUGUUAUUAUCAAAAGAAGACGAAAUGCAUGUCAAAGGAUAAGGAUCAUGCUGUUAACACUGCCCGACAACCUCAUUCCCACAAGAGAACCUUCUCCCGAACCUCGGACAUCGGUCCACAAGAGCAAAAGGUCUUGAACAUCGUGGACCGGAUCAAGCAGCAAAACCGCU
ensembl:lncRNA